GGAUCGGUUAGCUCAGUCGGUUGAGUGUGGUGCUAGCAACGCCAAGGUCGCGGGUUCGAUUCCCGUUCGGUCCC
rfam:Apaloderma vittatum contig82925, whole genome shotgun sequence.